rnacentral:rRNA from 1 species
CUUUCCAGAGACCCUUUUAGAGCCUUCGGGAACUCUGAGACAGGUGCUGCAUGGCCGUCGUCAGCUCGUGUCGUGAGAUGUUGGGUUAAGUCCCGUAACGAGCGCAACCCCUAUCCCUGGUUGCUAGCAGGUAAUGCUGAGAACUCCAGGGAGACUGCCGGUGACAAACCGGAGGAAGGUGGGGAUGACGUCAGGUCAUCAUGGCCCUUACGGCCAGGGCUACACACGUGCUACAAUGGCGCGUACAGAGGGCUGCCAACUCGCGAGAGUGAGCCAAUCCCUUAAAACGCGUCGUAGUCCGGAUCGGAGUCUGCAACUCGACUCCGUGGAGUCGGAAUCGCUAGUAAUCGCGAAUCAGAAUGUCGCGGUGAAUACGUUCCC